UUGUUCCAGAGAACUCCUACACAUCAAUUAACUGGAGACAGACACUGUUCUCCUGGGAAAAUGCUUGCUUCCUAAAUAGCUAGAGUAGCAAGACUUGUUUGGAGACCCUUGCUUUGUUGAGCCCAUCAGCCCUUAAGUAGGAUGUCAGAAACUGCUGGAUUCCAGUCCUCCACCAUGAGAGACCUCUUUAGGUUAUACAACUUAUGUUGUAUAUGGCGGCAGAACUGUAAGUCUUACGUUAUCUCGCCGUCUUUCCUUUCUAGAGUGCUGAGCACGUCAAGUGCGUGUUUUUACAAGGGAGAGUUGUGCGCUACAGAGACAGAGCAGCGAAUAAACUGCCGCUUGGAACUCAGUGUUGCCUAUCACAUCUUUCGUCUUUCCAUUCUCGGCUCUCCUCCGUUGAUAUACGUUCGUGGUCAUAUGCGGGGUCAUUACCCCCCAACAAAAUAGCAACAACCCCGAGAGGAGUGUGCAGCCUCUUUUUAAGCACAGCUAGAGGAAUUUCAGGAGUGGUUUGGUCAUCUCAAACACAAUGGAUUAAGCAAGCAGCAGUUCUUACACCUUUAACUGGCUGAGGUUUUUAUCUUUGGACAUACUUGGGUUCACUGGAGGCACAGCGGCUGGGCCCACAGUAACAAAGAGACUGCAAAUCCUCAGGAGAAGGGGAUCUGGGAAAGAAUGCGAUGGGCAUCUGUGACAAACAACCGUUUCCUCAACUUCACUCACAUCUGACUGUCAGGUCACAGUUGACCCUGAAGCCUGUGUUGAAUCUUGUGCUGCGACUCAAGAGCUCUUGUGUGGGUGUGGCCAUUGCCACAGCCAUAAACAGCAUGUGGGAGCAUUUUGCUCCUCAGCAGUUCCUCUGCAACAGAACAAGUGUGCAUGCGAUCUCAAGGUUAUUUUUGUGAGGACAGAAAUUACACCUGUUCUCUUUACCGCCAUGCACUAGGACAGGGUCUGGUCAACAGUGGAAGCAAAGGAAAUAUUUGUUGAACAAAUAAAAAAUUAAUAACUGCUUGGUAAAUUUUUAAAUAGUUUCUUGAAUAAUACAUUCCAGUGAGCUGGUGCUAGAAGAAAUGUUUUGGUAGGUAGCUAAUGAGAGACAGACACAAAAAUACAGGAUAGGGCGGAUCCCUUACAUUUGUAGCCUCUUCAAGUGGACGGCACUAGAAGAAGCCAUCCUGAGAGAAGUAACCCAGUCACAGAAAGAU